rnacentral:rRNA from 1 species
GACGAACGCUGGCGGCGUGCCUAAUACAUGCAAGUCGAACGCAGUGGGGACGGGUGAGUAACACGUGGGUAACCUCCCAUCAGAGGGGAUAACACUUGUAAAAAGGUGCUAAACCGAUACUGAUGGAUGGACCCGCGGUGCAUUAGCUAGUUGGUGAGGUAACGGCUCACCAAGGCCACGAUGCAUAGCCUACCUGAGGGGGGGAGCGGCCACACUGGGACUAGAACCGGGCCCAGACUCCUACGAGAGGCGGCAGUAGGGAAUCUUCGGCAAUGGACGAAAGUCUGACCGAGAAACGCCGCGUGAGUGAAGAAGGUUUUCGGAUCGUAAAGCUCUGUUGUUAGAGAAGCGGUAUCUAACCAGAAAGCCACGGCUAACUACGUGCCAGCAGCCGCGGUAAUUC